UACGGAGGAUCCAAGCGCUAUCCGGAUUUAUUGGGUUUAAAGGGUGCGUAGGCGGAUUGAUAAGUUAGAGGUGAAAUGUCCGAGCUCAACUCGGGAACUGCCUCUAAUACUGUUGAUCUAGAGAGUAGAUGCGGUAGGCGGAAUGUAUGGUGUAGCGGUGAAAUGCUUAGAGAUCAUACAGAACACCGAUUGCGAAGGCAGCUUACCAAUCUAUAUCUGACGUUGAGGCACGAAAGCGUGGGGAGCAAACAGG
rnacentral:rRNA from 1 species